CACCAGCGGGGAGGGCCGGGGCGGCGGGGGGCGCGCGGGGGCCCAUGCCGGCCUCCCGCCUCCGCCGCGCUGCGCGCCCGGGCACCGCGGCUCCGCACCGCACCGGCACCGCCGCGCUGCCGGAGGCCGCCUGUGCCUGGGAGAAGUGAAGGGGGGGAAAAAAAAAAAACACAACAAAAAAAACCCAGUAGCUUUUUUUUUUUUUUUUUAAAGUUCACGGGGAGGAAUAAAAAAAAAGGAUGAUCUCACUUUUACGGUAAGAUCAAAAAAAUCUCCACUCGCCCCCAUUCUUCGAGAUUUGGGAUAAUUCCAAAUACCUGACUAAGUGCAGAUGUUGUUGCGUCUUCACAUCUUAUAAAGCCGCCGUGCCGCUCUUUUGCUCUUGCUUUCCUUUUCAAGUUGCAGGAAAUUCAAACACUUUACAUGAAGGGUGGAGAGGUUUGGGAUUUUUUUUUUUUUGAUUAUUAUUGUUAUGAGUUGAUUAUUUUUUUUAAGCUGAUCUUUAGGAUGAAAAAAAAAAUCGCAGUCGCCUAAAGUCCCCGGGAAAUUGCUACUGUUGGGGGAAAACGAAACAUUUCUUGCAAACAAGAAAAUGAUUCCCUAGCAGAGCUCUCCCUCUCGCAGAAGUACAGCCCUGCGUGGAAGAUGCUGGCAGGUUGCAACCUCAGCAGCUGAACGGUGUCACUAAAACAAACAUUUGCGAGAAAAUCACCAGCCCUGCUGUAUGGCGAGGUUUGUCUAACAGCACUUACCUUGCCUUUCAAAGGGCGGGCCACAAGCGCUGGCGGUGGAGGGUAAUGGGCUGGUAACAGAGUACCGGGCUGGGGCUGGGGGCGGUGAAUGAAAAAAGUUAAACUUCCCGUAAACAGUAACUGGAGGAACUUUCUCAGUUCAAUUAGAAAUAAUAACUCUCGUGUGUGCGUGCGUGUGUGUGUGUGUGAAAGAGAGAGAGACAGAGGAAGCAGAUAUACGUGCACACAGACACGUGCGCUGCACUUACACACUCAACUCAGUGCCAAAACGCUCAGGAAGUUGUGGAAUAAUUUGAUUGUUAACUAUAUCCAUUUUUUUAAGGAAAAAAAAAAUCUAUUGAACUUUCUAUCAGAGGAAUUAGAGAGGGAAAUGCAGAUUCCUUCAUGUGCAUCAGCUUCUUUGGGGGUCAGAGUCUAUUUCAGAGAGCCAGAACCCGUAAUUUUAUUAAGUGUAACAUUUACGAACAUAAUGCGUAAAAUCGAUGACUGUACAGACUCCAUCUACAAAGACUCAGCACAUGAGGCUCAGCUCUAAGCUCUCUCUUCCCGGCAGUUUUAAACCAAGCUCAUUGCAUUCCCCUACGUGAAAACUCCAACAGUUUCCCAAGAAACCUCCUCUCCCGCCACCCAGGUCCGAGCGGAGACAGCGGGCUGAGCUGAUGAAAGGACCAUUGAAAUUAACUGUUAGUUACGGGAAUGGCCAGAGGAUCAGUAAGGAAGUUUAUUAAACUUGGAGCAGCUGCCUCUUAGAAACCAGCGUGUUUCGGGCUUUAACCUUUCUCUCUCCCGAGCAGCGUGUUGAUGUUUCGCCACUUGUUCAUUGCAAACAAGGAAAGGAGAAGCGUGCGUCGAGGUCCCCGUGUGCGUGUGUAGCUGCUCUCGGAGACCCGUUUGUUAGCACUGGUCCAUGGCUUUUCGGGGGGGGUCAGACCCGGUGGCGAACUGCCCCCUCCCUGGCGCUCUCCUCUCGCCCCGAGGACCAGCCCGGCUCCGCGGGGCGUCUCCGCCCCUUCCAGCGGAGCAGAGGAGCCGGCGGGCACCCAGCGGCUCCUCGCCAGCCGAGUGUCCGCGGGAAGGGCUGGGCAUCAGCGAGCUGGGGCCUUUCGAGGCGCCGGCGGUGAGGCGGCGGGUGCCCCGCCGGCCGAGGAGCGAGCUGUCGAGGGAGGAGGCGGCGCGCCCGGGGCCGGGCUGCCGGGGGCCGGGCUCCCGACCGCGGAGGGGGGGGGGGGGGGCGAGCCCCGGCAGAAGGCGCGGGGCAGGGCGGCUGGGGCGUCUCACCUGCCAGCAGUUCCUCCCAGGGCAGCCCCCCGCCAGGCACAGGCUCUGGGAGCACCACCGAGGCAUCGCCCAGGACCGGGCGCGGGGAACGCGGCAGCCCGCGGCCGUGCCGGGCACCCAAUGCCCCGCCGGGCGUCCGGGCAGCCGCCGGCUGCCACCGCUGCCUUCUGUCCCUUGGAAAAGCCUGUCCUCCCUCGGUGGCACUCCAUCGAAAUGCAAAAAGUGUGCGGAAAGUACUCCGGUUUCUCCCGGCGAAGAACAAAGAAGAAACAGUUUUCAUUAAGGCUGGACUAGAUGAAUAUGGAUCUGACAAGUUUGUUUAAAAACACCGCUGUCCACGACCGAAAACGAUACUCCACUUUUGUAAAAUACAAAGUGUUGUCAAUAACCAUUAUAACAACAAUAAUAAUCCGAGAAGAGAACAAAGACAUUUUGUAAUAUCUACAUAACUUUAUUAGAGCAAAAUUAUUUUAAAAUGCCUAUGAAUUCCCAAACCUCCUGAAUACAAAUGAAUAAAAG